rnacentral:rRNA from 1 species
UACGGGGGGGGCAAGCGUUGUUCGGAAUUACUGGGCGUAAAGGGCGCGUAGGCGGCCUGCUAAGUCGAACGUGAAAUCCCCGGGCUCAACCCGGGAACUGCGUCCGAUACUGGUUGGCUUGAAUCCGGGAGAGGGAUGCGGAAUUCCAGGUGUAGCGGUGAAAUGCGUAGAUAUCUGGAGGAACACCGGUGGCGAAGGCGGCAUCCUGGACCGGCAUUGACGCUGAGGCGCGAAAGCCAGGGGAGCAAACGGG